GCCCCAACACAGGUCAGCCUGGUGAAAAACUCCCUGGUAUCAUUAAUGUGCCCCCUAUUAUCUCCAGGGUUAUUAGUGUCUAACUAGGCAUUAUGCACAAGCAUCAGAGCCAAAUUACAGUCUAUAUCUAAUUACUAUUUUAUUAUUAUUCCCUGUUAUGCUUGGCUAGUGGGUGUUUGUUGGGGUGGCGGGCACCCUCCCCAGCCAGGGCAGGGACAACCCUUGUGACCCCGCUUAAGAAUAGGGUUUUCUCUUCAUGAUGCCUUCUUGUGGUCAACGAUGGCAAAAGAACAAAACUGGAAUCUCCAUAUGACUCUGCAGGAAGGAAUGUGACCUGAAGCAAGGGGCUUAUCUGCCCAUCUGGUGACUCCCAGGUCAGCCCCAUCUCAAAACAAGCCCGCUUCAACCAUUCAUGUAUCCACAAGCCUGGUAAGUCCAUCUGUAGCAAUGGACAUUCACUGGCUGAAUCGAGGAGAGGAGAAAAUGUUGAACGGAUAUCAGGAAACUCACAGACCAGCUGGAAAUAUUAGGGAAUCAGGCUUAGAAAACACGCAGGCGCAAAGAGUGACCAUGAAGCCCAGCACUACAGCCAAAACUGCACCACAAAGCCCAUCAGGUAAGGACAUCAUUGCUUGACCUAAGAAUAAGAUGGCAGGAGAAUCCAUUC
rnacentral:lncRNA from 10 species